UGGGGAAUAUUGCGCAAUGGGGGAAACCCUGACGCAGCAACGCCGCGUGAGUGAGGAAGGACUUCGGUCUGUAAAGCUCUGUUAAUGUGGAAAAAUGGUAGUUGGUCUAAUAGGCCGAUUAUUUGAUGGUACACAUAGAGGAAGCACCGGCUAACUUCGUGCCAGCAGCCGCGGUAAUACGAAGGGUGCAAGCGUUGUUCGGAUUUAUUGGGCGUAAAGCGCGCGUAGGCGGACCUGCAAGUCAGAUGUGAAAUCUCGGGGCUCAACCCCGAAACUGCGUCUGAAACUACAGGUCUAGAAUCUUGGAGGGGGAAGGGGAAUUUCGCAUGUAGGGGUAAAAUCCGUAGAUAUGCGAAGGAACACCAGAGGCGAAGGCGCCUUCCUGGACAAGUAUUGACGCUGAGGCGCGAAAGCGUGGGGAUCAAACA
rnacentral:rRNA from 1 species